rfam:Picea glauca, whole genome shotgun sequence.
AGAGAUGAUGGGGUGCUCACUUCAGUCCAACCAGGGGUUGUAUGGGGAUGAUUCAACUACUGGUUCAUAGAUUCUAUUGUCUUGUCAUGUUGGUGGAGCUAGAAAUAUAAUGGUGUGCAUGAGACAGGAGGUGUAUUUCCACCAUGCGACUUUUACUUGGAUUCAAGGGAGCUCCUUGAACGCUUACU